rnacentral:rRNA from 1 species
GACGAACGCUGGCGGCGUGCUUAACACAUGCAAGUCGAACGGAAAGGCCCUGCUUUUGUGGGGUGCUCGAGUGGCGAACGGGUGAGUAACGCGUGAGUAACCUGCCCUUGACUUUGGGAUAACUUCAGGAAACUGGGGCUAAUACCGGAUAGGAGCUCCUGCUGCAUGGUGGGGGUUGGAAAGUUUCGGCGGUUGGGGAUGGACUCGCGGCUUAUCAGCUUGUUGGUGGGGUAGUGGCUUACCAAGGCUUUGACGGGUAGCCGGCCUGAGAGGGUGACCGGCCACAAUGGGACUGAGAUACGGCCCAGACUCCUACGGGAGGCAGCAGUGGGGAAUAUUGCACAAUGGGCGGAAGCCUGAUGCAGCAACGCCGCGUGCGGGAUGACGGCCUUCGGGUUGUAAACCGCUUUCGCCUGUGACGAAGCGUGAGUGACGGUAAUGGGUAAAGAAGCACCGGCUAACUACGUG